UACGUAGGCAGCAAGCGUUGUUCGGAAUUACUGGGCGUAAAGAGUGUGUAGGCGGUGCUCCAAGUCUGGUGUGAAAUCUCCCGGCUUAACUGGGAGGGUGCAUUAGAAACUGGAAUGCUAGAGGAUGGGAGAGGUAAGCGGAAUUCCUGGUGUAGCGGUGAAAUGCGUAGAGAUCGGGAGGAACACCAGUGGCGAAGGCGGCCCUCUGGACCAAUACUGACGCUCAUGCACGAAAGCGUGGGGAGCAAACAGG
rnacentral:rRNA from 1 species